rnacentral:rRNA from 1 species
CCUACGGGAGGCAGCAGUGAGGAAUAUUGGACAAUGGGCGCAAGCCUGAUCCAGCCAUGCCGCGUGCAGGAUGACGGUCCUAUGGAUUGUAAACUGCUUUUGCACAGGAAGAAACAACGCUACGUGUAGCGUCUUGACGGUACUGUGAGAAUAAGGAUCGGCUAACUCCGUGCCAGCAGCCGCGGUAAUACGGAGGAUCCAAGCGUUAUCCGGAAUCAUUGGGUUUAAAGGGUCCGUAGGCGGUUUAGUAAGUCAGUGGUGAAAGCCCAUCGCUCAACGGUGGAACGGCCAUUGAUACUGCUAGACUUGAAUUAUUAGGAAGUAACUAGAAUAUGUAGUGUAGCGGUGAAAUGCUUAGAGAUUACAUGGAAUACCAAUUGCGAAGGCAGGUUACUACUAAUGGAUUGACGCUGAUGGACGAAAGCGUGGGUAGCGAACAGGAUUAGAUACCCUGGUAGUCCACGCCGUAAACGAUGGAUACUAGCUGUUGGGAGCGAUCUCNGUGCGUAGACGAAGUAGAGUAAGUACUACCGACCGUACGGGUAGGUACGUUCGUCGAGGAGUAGUAACGUACGUAAGUAGUAGUUAGUACGGACGUUGAGACGUUACGCCGACGGACGACGACGACGGGAGGUAGG